CGAGCACGCGCGUGUGGCAUAUCAAUAAGCGGAGGAAAAGAAACUAACAAGGAUUCCCCUAGUAACGGCGAGUGAAGCGGGAAGAGCUCAAAUUUGAAAUCUUAAAGGGUUUCCCUUUACGAAUUGUAGUUUAAAGAAGUGUUUUCUGUUGGAGUUUCGGUAAAAGUUCUUUGGAAUAGGACAUCAUAGAGGGUGAGAAUCCCGUAUUUGACCGUUACUUUCCAGCUGUGUGAUACACUUUCAAAGAGUCGGAUUGUUUGGGAAUGCAGUCCAAAAUGGGUGGUAAAUUUCAUCUAAAGCUAAAUAUUGGCGAGAGACCGAUAGCGAACAAGUACCGUGAGGGAAAGAUGAAAGGAACUUUGAAAAGAGAGUUAAACAGUACGUGAAAUUGUCAAAAGGGAAGCGUUUGACACCAGUGUUGUUUAGUUGAAAAUCAAUUAAAUAAUUUUUGAUUUUAAGUAGUAUUGACUUCAUCAGCUUGCUGCUUUCUUUUCAUGAAAUUAUUUAAUGCACUUUUCAGUUAACAAGUCAACAUCAAUUUCUUUUGUUGUAAAAGGGUAAGAGGAAGGUGGCUUAGCGUUUCGGCGUAAGUGUUUAUAGCCUUCUACCUCUGCAAUCGGAGAGAUUGAGGAUCUGCAGCGUAGACUCCUUCUGGGGUUAGAUACACUUGUGCCUAAGCUAUAGCCUUGUAUAGACAACUUGUUGACUAUGCUCAGUCAUGUAGCUUACUCGCUUAUGCUAUUUUACCUACGCUUAGGAUGUUGAGUCAUCACACAUCUCU
rnacentral:rRNA from 1 species